UCCAUUUUAAAUUGCCAACAAUCUGGAUAGAUUGUCAGCUACCAAACACAACCUUAGUUCUUUGUAUUUGAAAGGGCUUCAUGUGUUGGAACAGCAUAUUCUCCAGCAUAAUGCGAGAGUUGGACUAGAAGAAAGAGAAGAUCUCCACUUUUGAGAUAAGAAGGGGCUAAUCUCGACAAACUCCAGCCGGAGCAGAACCCUGUUUACCCAAGUGGCAAAGGGUGAUAAGUGAUAACAUUGGAGCAAGCGCUCAUUGGUCUCAUCUUAGAUACAUUAACCCUAACUAAAAGUGCCAUCCCUUCCAUUAGAUUCUCUGGAAAAGAUAAAGGUCCUCUGCAGUUCAUGGUGCAACUCGGGAGUUCCAAUUUCUCCCCCCCAAAUAUCUGUGAAUCGAGCAAGACAAUUGACCACAUCGCAUCAUCUAGCACGCAUUCAAUCAUGAUCAUCUUGCAGCAAAGUGAUGGUUGUGAUUGGGAGACUGGAUCUGUCCAUUUAAAAGUUCAAUAAGGGGUCUGCCCGAAAAAAGAAAAAAAAAACUUCAAUAAGAGAGAAUAACGAGAAAGAAAUGGUCAUACAGGCUAGACCAUGACUCGAGACAUUUGUGCUGCGGUAGAUCCUCGACGAAUUCCUGCCGCUUGGACGUGGUGGCGAGCGACAUCGCGGAACCUCGCCGCUUCCAACAAGCUUGGAUCC
rnacentral:lncRNA from 1 species